CCUGAAUCAGUGUGUGUGUUAGUGGAAGCGUCUGGAAAGGCGCGCGAUACAGGGUGACAGCCCCGUACACAAAAAUGCACAUGCUGUGAGCUCGAUGAGUAGGGCGGGACACGUGGUAUCCUGUCUGAAUAUGGGGGGACCAUCCUCCAAGGCUAAAUACUCCUGACUGACCGAUAGUGAACCAGUACCGUGAGGGAAAGGCGAAAAGAACCCCGGCGAGGGGAGUGAAAAAGAACCUGAAACCGUGUACGUACAAGCAGUGGGAGCACGCUUAGGCGUGUGACUGCGUACCUUUUGUAUAAUGGGUCAGCGACUUAUAUUCUGUAGCAAGGUUAACCGAAUAGGGGAGCCGAAGGGAAACCGAGUCUUAACUGGGCGUUAAGUUGCAGGGUAUAGACCCGAAACCCGGUGAUCUAGCCAUGGGCAGGUUGAAGGUUGGGUAACACUAACUGGAGGACCGAACCGACUAAUGUUGAAAAAUUAGCGGAUGACUUGUGGCUGGGGGUGAAAGGCCAAUCAAACCGGGAGAUAGCUGGUUCUCCCCGAAAGCUAUUUAGGUAGCGCCUCGUGAAUUCAUCUCCGGGGGUAGAGCACU
rnacentral:rRNA from 1 species